AACAUUUGUAAGUCUUAGUUCAGCUGGAAAUUUAUUUUGAGACAUCAUACGAGGGAGAAUGUUAUUAAUUUAAUAUCCCAAUUUUCAUUUGUGUUUCAGUACAGUACUGUGUUUCAGUAACAGUCUGGUCUACUGUUUUCUACAUUCUGGUCUCUGGAAACCUCUGCAAUGCUUGUCAAAAGUCACCAUUUUAUCACGUCAUUUUCUGCGAGGAGCAGUUGGGAAGGUGCUGAUUCCCGGACUGCAGAGACGUGAAACUGUGCUUUUCCAGGGAGCAGAUGUGGUAUCCACAAAGAGACCAACCACAUCCCAUGAAGCAAGAGGAGUGCAGAACACCUCUUUGCGCCAAAAGUGCAGUCUGGAAAUGCUACAAAAGGGGUGUGGUGUCAACACCGUAUUUUGGAACUGGACUGAGGUAUACACCCACUUGACCAUCUAAAUCAAGUACCCUCAUGAGGUAAAGCUUCUAGAUGAUUGCUGUUGUAAACUCUCGAAAUAUUAUCUGUUUUUACACGGAAUCUUGACUUGAAGGUAGGUGUAGAUCAUAUCCCUGUUAUCAUCCUUUUACAUGCACAGGUGGGAUGUGCUUUGGUGCUCUGAGAAUAAGCCCAGAGGAACACGUCACAGCCUUUCAGUGUACUGCAGGUCAUCACCUCUGUCAGCAAGUGCUGACCCAGUGAAGGCUGCAGAUUUUCCAGAGCCUAGAGAAUUCUUUGCCGUUUUGUAAAUGGUGUCCUAAAAACCACGACACACAAGUAACUCUUUCCCCCAGCCUCAAAAAAUGUAGAUGGAUAGUAUAAAUCAGUUUUAUCUGAACACUUCAGGCUAUAAAAUAAACGCUUUAAAUUAAGAAUUGCA
rnacentral:lncRNA from 1 species